CAGUGUGUUUCUUAGGAGAGGACAUUUGAGCUCAGACUUGAAAUAGAGAAGGAACCUACCGUAUGAAGAUCUGGGGGAACGAACAAUUUGGGCAGAGCGAACAAGUGCAAAGGCUCUAAAGUCGGAGCUGUUUUGGCAAAUUGAGGGACAAGCAGGCCUGAUGUGGGUGGAGCAAACAGCACCAGGGGGCGGCUGACAGAAGAUGGUAUCAGAGAGGGUUGGAUCUCACUUAGUGUGGUCAGGGAGUUUGUAUUUUAUACUAAGUGUAGAAAAGUCGUGGGGACGGGGCAGUUUACACAGGGAGGGAUGUAUGUUUUAAAGAUGAUGACCUCGAUUUUGAGGGUAGGCAGGUUAGGGGUGGGCAAGAGUGAAGUAGGGAGAUUAGCACAAAGAGGCCUGGCAAUUAUGGUGACUUGCACUGGAGUGUUGGCCGUGGCGAUGGACGGUAGUACUCUGGGUUGAGAUGUAGUUUGAAAGCAGAGCUGACCGGACUUGCUGGUGGAAUGUAGGGGUGAGGGCAAGGUGAAGCAAAAUUCUCUCCCAUGUUUCUGAUCUUAUCCACUUAACGACUUGAUUUGUUCAGUGAAGUAUGGAUUGACUGGCCAAUAAAGACUGAUGGCACUUCUAGCCCUGCAGGAAAGGCAGAGGAAAUAUGGUCUAAUCAUUAGAAGCUUCUGCAAGAUGCUGGCCUUGUUUCUGCCCUCUGGUUACAAAAGACAGAGAAAUGCUUGUCUCCUGAAAGCUGCUUAUGUGUUUAAAAACACCCUUAAAACAAAACAAAAUAAAACAACACCCCUUGCAUUUCCUCUAA